rnacentral:rRNA from 2 species
GGGGAGCAAACAGGAUUAGAUACCCUGGUAGUCCACGCCGUAAACGAUGAGUGCUAGUGUUAGAGGGUUUCCGCCCUUUAGUGCUGAAGUUAACGCAUUAAGCAUUCCCCCUGGGGAGUACGGCCGCAAGGCUGAAAUUCAAAGGAAUUGACGGGGGCCCGCCCAAGCGGUGGAGCAUGUGGUUUAAUUGGAAGCAACGGGAAGAACCUUACCAGGUCUUGACAUCUUUUGACAACCCUAGAGAUAGGGCUUUUCCUUCGGGAGCAGAGUGACAGGUGGUGCAUGGUUGUCGUCAGCUCGUGUCGUGAGAUGUUGGGUUAAGUCCCGCAACGAGCGCAACCCUUGAUUUUAGUUGCCAUCAUUAAGUUGGGCAUUUUAAGGUGACUGCCGGUGACAAACCGGAGGAAGGUGGGGAGGACGUCAAAUCAUCAUGCCCCUUAUGACCUGGGCUACACACGUGUUACAAUGGACGGUACAAAGAGCUGCAAGACCGGGAGGUGGAGUUAAUUUCAUAAAACCGUUUUCAGUUCGGAUUGUAGGCUGCAAUUCGCCUACAUGAAGCUGGAAUCGUUAGUAAUCGCGGAUCACCAUGCCGGGGUGAAUACGUUCCCGGCCCUUGUACACACCGCCCUUCCAACCACGAGAGUUUGUACCACCCGAAGUCGGUGGGGUAACCUUU